rnacentral:rRNA from 1 species
AGAGUUUGAUCCUGGCUCAGGACGAACGCUGGCGGCGUGCUUAACACAUGCAAGUCGAACGGUAAGGCCCUUCGGGGUACACGAGUGGCGAACGGGUGAGUAACACGUGGGUAAUCUGCCCUGCACAUCGGGAUAAGCCUGGGAAACUGGGUCUAAUACCGAAUAGGACCACAGGACACAUGUCCUGUGGUGGAAAGCUUUUGCGGUGUGGGAUGGGCCCGCGGCCUAUCAGCUUGUUGGUGGGGUGAUGGCCUACCAAGGCGACGACGGGUAGCCGGCCUGAGAGGGUGUCCGGCCACACUGGGACUGAGAUACGGCUCAGACUCCUACGGGAGGCAGCAGUGGGGAAUAUUGCACAAUGGGCGAAAGCCUGAUGCAGCGACGCCGCGUGGGGGAUGACGGCCUUCGGGUUGUAAACCUCUUUCACCAUCGACGAAGGUCCGGGUUUUCUCGGGCUGACGGUAGGUGGAGAAGAAGCACCGGCCAACUACGUGCCAGCAGCCGCGGUAAUACGUAGGGUGCGAGCGUUGUCCGGAAUUACUGGGCGUAAAGAGCUCGUAGGUGGUUUGUCGCGUUGUUCGUGAAAUCUCACGGCUUAACUGUGAGCGUGCGGGCGAUACGGGCAGACUUGAGUACUGCAGGGGAGACUGGAAUUCCUGGUGUAGCGGUGGAAUGCGCAGAUAUCAGGAGGAACACCGGUGGCGAAGGCGGGUCUCUGGGCAGUAACUGACGCUGAGGAGCGAAAGCGUGGGGAGCGAACAGGAUUAGAUACCCUGGUAGUCCAA